CAGUAAACGGCGGCCGUAACUAUAACGGUCCUAAGGUUAACAAAUCGCUAGCCUUAGUAAAACUGAACUAUAUGCGGGAAACUCCUCAUACAGUUCCGGCUACUUGUUUCAAAUAUAUUUGCAUCAAGUAACAAUGCCGGAAACAGGGGGACAAUCCGCAGGGAAGAUUCUCCGCUUCAGGCGGAGGAAACCCUCAGAGACUUAAUGUUGGAAAUAGGAAGUAUGAACUUAGAUUCACAGUGGGUUGUAGGCUUUGUGGACGGUGAAGGCUGUUUUUAUGUGGGGAUUAAUUCCCAUCCAGACAUGAUUACUGGCUUUCAGGUUCUACCAGAGUUUACUGUAGUGCAACACGAACGAGACAUUCAAGUUUUGCACGCCCUUAAGCAAUUUUUUGGCUGUGGUGUGGUUCGUCAGAAUCAUGCUGAUAGACAGUGCUUCAGGGUAAGGAAGUUAGAGGAUUUGCGUGAAAAAAUUAUUCCAUUCUUUCAUAAACAUCCUCUCAAAACUCGUAAAAGUGUAGACUUCCAUACUUUUUGCCGCAUUGUAAACUUGAUGACUCAAUCUGAGCAUCUUACUAGGCAGGGUUUAGACCACAUUAAAGCCCUUGCAGAAACUAUGAAUCGUAAAGGCAUAAAUUCCUAUUAAGAUAAAGUCCGUCUAGUAGUGAAAGCUAUUAGGUAAAACGAGCGAAAUUCCUUGUCGGGUAAGUUCCGACCCGCACGAAAGGCGUAACGAUUUGGACGCUGUCUCGGAGAGAGACUCGGUGAAAUAGCAUUGUCCGUGAAGAUGCGGACUACUUGCACCUGGACAGAAAGACCCUAUGAAGCUUUACUAUAACUUGGAAUUGGGUUCGGGCUUCUCUUGCGCAGGAUAGGUGGGAGACUGAGAAGUUGCCCUUGUGGGGGCAAUGGAGUCAACGGUGAGAUACCACUCUGGAGAGGCUAGGAUUCUAACCCUGACCCGUGAUCCGGGCGGGGAACAGUUUCAGGCGGGUAGUUUGACUGGGGCGGUCGCCUCCUAAAAGGUAACGGAGGCGCACAAAGGUUCCCUCAGGCUGGUCGGAAAUCAGCCAAAGAGUGUAAAGGCAUAAGGGAGCUUGACUGCAACACCAACAAGUGGAGCAGGGUGGAAACACGGUCUUAGUGAUCCGACGGCACUGCGUGGAAGGGCCGUCGCUCAUCGGAUAAAAGUUACUCUAGGGAUAACAGGCUGAUCUCCCCCAAGAGUCCACAUCGACGGGGAGGUUUGGCACCUCGAUGUCGGCUCAUCGCAUCCCGGGGCUGGAGCAGGUCCCAAGGGUUCGGCUGUUCGCCGAUUAAAGCGGUACGUGAGCUGGGUUUAGAACGUCGUGAGACAGUUCGGUCCCUAUCUGCCGUGGGUGUCGGAGACUUGAGAGGAUCUGUCCCUAGUACGAGAGGACCGGGAUGGACGCACCUCUGGUGCACCAGUUGUCACGCCAGUGGCACAGCUGGGUAGCCAAGUGCGGACGGGAUAACCGCUGAAAGCAUCUAAGCGGGAAACCCACCUCAAAACCAGGUCUCCCCGAGGGCCGUGAUAGACCAUCACGUCGAUAGGUCGCAGGUGUACGCAUGGCAACAUGCUCAGCCAAGCGAUCCUAAUCGCCCGAUAGGCUCACUCCA
rnacentral:rRNA from 1 species